UGGGGAAUAUUGCACAAUGAAGGGAACUCUGAUGCAGCGACGCCGCGUGAACGAAGAAGGCUUUCGAGUCGUAAAGUUCUUUUAUAUGGGAAGAUAAUGACGGUACCAUAAGAAAAAGCCCCGGCUAACUACGUGCCAGCAGCCGCGGUAAUACGUAGGGGGCUAGCGUUGUCCGGAAUCACUGGGCGUAAAGGGUUCGCAGGCGGAAAUGCAAGUCAGGUGUAAAAGGCAGUAGCUUAACUACUGUAAGCAUUUGAAACUGCAUAUCUUGAGAAGAGUAGAGGUAAGUGGAAUUUUUAGUGUAGCGGUGAAAUGCGUAGAUAUUAAAAAGAAUACCGGUGGCGAAGGCGGCUUACUGGGCUCAUUCUGACGCUGAGGAACGAAAGCGUGGGUAGCAAACAGG
rnacentral:rRNA from 1 species